UACGGAGGGUGCAAGCGUUGCUCGGAAUUAUUGGGCGUAAAGGGCAGGUAGGUGGUCUCAUUUGUCUGAGGUGAAAGCCUUGGGCUCAACCCGAGAAGGGCCUCAGAAACGGUGAGACUAGAGUCUUGGAGAGGGUCGUGGAAUUCCGAGUGUAGAGGUGAAAUUCGUAGAUAUUCGGAAGAACACCAGUGGCGAAGGCGGCUCACUGGACCGGUAUUGACGCUGAGGUGCGAAAGCGUGGGGAGCAAACAGG
rnacentral:rRNA from 1 species